rnacentral:rRNA from 1 species
GACGAACGCUGGCGGCGUGCUUAACACAUGCAAGUCGAACGGAAAGGCGCUGCUCUUGUGGGGUGCUUGUGUGGCGAACGGGUGAGUAACACGUGUGUAACCUGCCCUUGACUUUGGGAUAACUCCAGGAAACUGGGGCUCAUACCGGAUAGGAGCUCCUGCUGCAUGGUGGUGGUUGGAAAGUUUCGGCGGUUCGGGAUGGACUCGCGGCUUCUCAGCUUGUUGGUGGAGUAGUGGCUUACCAAGGUUUCGACGGGUAGCCGGCCUGAGAGGGGGACCAGGCACAUUAGGACUGAGAUACGGAGCAGUCUCCUACGGGAGGCAACGGGGGGGAAUAUUGCACAACAAGCGGGAGCCUGAUGCAGCAACGCCCCGUGCGGGAUGACGGCCUACGGGUUGUAAACCGCUUUCGCCUGUGACGAGGCGUGAGUGACGGUAAUGGGUAAAGAAGCACCGGCUAACUACGUG